CAGCUUCUUGCUGUGGCUGGGGAAGUUCUAAAGGACAUUGGCUCCUGCAAUCCAUCAAUGGUCCAGCAUCACUUUACUGAAGAGUCCCAGCUGACAAUACAAGAGCACCAUCAGACCAAUCACUCCACACAGUGUGCUGGGGGAAAUCUUGGAAAUAGGACCACCUCAACGAUAUCAUAGCUG